CGGACCUGUUAAGGAUGUAGCAAGGUUGAAUAUAUAUACAUAUAUUACAACUAUUAGAAUUGAUUUAUUCAGAAUAAACCACUAAGUCAGGAAUACGCUAGUACAACUGUCUUGUGCACUACAAUUGGAAUAAGAUUUAUUGCAUCUAUUCAUACGUAUUUUUAUAUCAGAAGCUAAGGUAACGUAGAAAGUAAAUUACUGUUUUGUCUUAUUAGAUAUAAGAAUAGAUCGUUGUUUUGCGCUUAGCAGUCACCUUCUAUUGUUCUUACAAGAUCGAUUUUGGAGUCAUUUAUUGAACCAAGGGCGAUAGGUUUAAUAUUUUACGGACAUUAUCACGAUAUAGAUGACCUUUAUCGGAUAUCCGUUAAAGAUAGAACAGGGCAUUUUAAUUGAAAACACAAUCUAUUCUUCCGUGAAGCGUUUAAUGGACUGUUGUCUUGUUCUUCUUGUCCAGAUGUCGUCAUACUUUCGGCAUAGUUGUUUUUAAUUUCUCACCUUGGUAUCUUCUUAGAAAACAUUUUGAAACCAUUUCAAAAGUUAAAUAAUAAAAUGAAUGAAUAUUAUAUGCAAAAUUUUACCGAGGCAAGCAUUGAAAGGUUGUCAGAAAUCGUAAAAAUACAGGGAGGCGGGGUAAACAAAGGUAAGAACAGCUGAAAAUAAGUCCAAAACAGGCUCUCAACUCAGUUAGUACGCGUACAUAAACAAAUCAGCAAAUAUAGCUUUGAAAAUACCGGCAUGCAUUCUUCAUCUCAAAGCCGUGAUAUUCUUUGGGAAAACCAGGUGUAAUCCACCAUUGUCUUCAUAGGAAAACACCUGUACAACGUCAGGAAUGUGACAGUUGUUAUCCAUUCGUUUGAUGUGUUUGAGCUUUGUUAUGCCAUUUGAUUACGGACUAUUCAUUUUGAAUUUCCUCAGAGUUCGGUAUUUUUUCUACGUUUUAUGAUAUCAUUCUCCCUAUGUUGUAUUGGUAAAAAAGCACAUGGCAUAACUCCAUUGAGGAGUGAAAUUCUAACAGAUACUGAUUAGCAACUUGAGAAAUUCGUAUUCUUGAUUAGGUCAAUUGGCAACAAUUUUGUGAAACUUGCAUCAUAGUGGUCUAAUACAUUUAUAACUUGCGAUAAUUGUCAUAUUGUGUUCUAAUGUAUUCAUUAUGCUUGUCGCCUAUUUAACUAUGCAUAUUGGAUGUGUGUUUGAUUUUUGAAUUGCUAAAUUUAUUCCUGGUUGAUAAUCAUAAUGUAGUACUCAAUUACAAAAAAACAUAGUGUUUGGGAUUUUAAGUUAGUUUUUCCGUUGAACAAUUUUUGUAAAGAACCGUCUUCAGAUUCAAGUUGAUAAUGCUAAUGAUGUUUCUCGACCUAAAUUCAAAAAUACGAAACACCGGAGGUAAAUUUUAACAUCAAUUAUUAUUUCUAAAUAUUAAAGAAUGAAUUUUAUUUUCAGUUGAUAUAUAAAAGAUGCAAAUUCAACAAAUUCAAGAUAUCCAGCUGCAGCCUGGUAAAGCAAAUUUUGAUAUCAAGGGUUGCACCAUUAAUGGCGAUAAGGUUCUAUUUACCGACAAAGGUAAUUGUCGGAUAAUAGUACACGAUGUAACAGGCCGUCAUGUUGAAGACAUUCCUCUAUCAGCAGAACCGUUUGAUAUUACAGCUAUAGAUAAUAACAUGGUAGCCGUCACAUUUGGCAGGAAGCAGUACUUUGAAAUUAUAAAUAUCAAUACCAAAGAAGUUACUAAAAAAACAACUGACGGAAACAGCUGGGGAAUGACGUAUGAGAAUGGAAAUUUAUAUAUGAUCGUCGAUGGUACUAUGCAUGGUAUCAAUGUGGCUGUUAUGACGUCAUCGGGAGAACUUUUUAAAAUGAUACCGGUCAGUACAGACUUUGACCAAACGGAAUAUGUGGCAGUAAAUGGAGACAGUUUAUUUUUUACAGUAUUCAUCCCUAAAGAUCUUGUAUGCAUGGAUGUGAAUGGUGCUGUUCAAUGGCAGUUCCAAAAGAACAUUUUUAACCAGCCAAGGGGAGUAACUACUGACACUCUCGGAAAUAUUUUUGUAGCUGGAUUUUCUUCACAUAAUGUGAUUGCUGUAAAGAAAAGUGGGAGCGAGGGUAGUGAAAUACUAAAUAAGAAUGAAGGCUUAAAUUAUCCCACAUCAAUUUAUUGCGACAAGACGAAUAACAGGUUGCUAGUUAGUAAUUUGAACAACGGACAUGCAUACCUGUUCAACAUAGUUUAUGACUAAAACAUGUGCUAUACAUCCUGAACAUAAUUUCCUGUAUAGUUGACUGGAUGUCUGUUUAAUUGUUUUCAUUUUUAUUAUAUGUAUUUUAAAGGACAA
rnacentral:lncRNA from 1 species